rnacentral:rRNA from 1 species
CGGCGGACGGGUGAGUAACGCGUGGGUAACCUGCCUUACACUGGGGGAUAACAGUUAGAAAUGACUGCUAAUACCGCAUAAGCGCACAGUACCGCAUGGUACAGUGUGAAAAACUCCGGUGGUGUGAGAUGGAUCCGCGUCUGAUUAGCCAGUUGGCGGGGUAACGGCCCACCAAAGCGACGAUCAGUAGCCGACCUGAGAGGGUGACCGGCCACAUUGGGACUGAGACACGGCCCAA